CACACUCUGUGGCACUGGGGGUUAGGACUUCAACAUACGAAUUUUGGGAGAACACCAUUCAGCCCAUAACAGAAGCUGACUGUGAAAGACAGGAGUUGGUAGGGGGAUGGGGCAAAGCCAGAUCAGGAAAGGCCUUGACUCUUAGGGCUUCACGUUUUAGGACUUAAGAUGCUGGCUUCUGGUUUGAGCCUUGGGAGGCUCAUUGGAAAGCGAAAACAUCUCAGUUUCCCAUCCCGUUUCUGGUAAUUCUGGGAGGGGUGAAAUCUCUCAGGCCUACAGCCCCCAGAGUCUGAGAUCAGAGCCACGCCCCAAGGAGUGGCUAGCAUUGUCCCUCUGCCUGGGCCCUGUGGAAAAUCCCCGCCCAGCUGGGUGGGUCCCGGAAGCUUAUCAAGUGAGAAACUUUCCUGCCUUCCAGAAACUCCCAUUUGGAUAGACAUGGAUGCGCAGAGCACACGCUAAGCAGUCUUACGGGUAACUGAGGGCUCCACUUCGCCGAGAGGAGGAGAAAGACCCGGAAGACUGCAGUUCUGCCUUGGCCGUCAGAGGAGUCUGGGCCCCACCUGCCUCCCUGGCUGCGCAUUCAGGUCACUCCCCUUCCUGCUUUCCUCCUCCAUAAAAUGAGGAGUGACACGCUUGAGAAGAGUGAUGAAUAAUAUUGAGGAUGAUUCAACGUCUCUUGGUUUUACUCCUGCACCACCCAAAGAGAAAAUAAUAAGACAAGAACAUUUCCUUUUCUAUCUCAGUGUCAUAAUAUGACAUUGUAUUAUUACAGUGCAGUGUAACCGCAUUUCAGAAGACCAUGCGUAGCUCAAAACACUGAAGUAGGUGGGGAGGCCAAGGCCCUAAUUCUCCAAGGAGAUGGGACCGGUGCUGGGUUCUAGGGCGUGUUCAGCGUCAGAACCAUCAGCGGGGUAAGUUCCUUUUGCUAAGGGUUCUUCUAGCCCCUGAGCCCUAAGGUUCUGGGGUAGACAAUUCCGGAUGCCACAGGGCUCUAGAAGAAGGAGAAAGGUUGGGCUUAGGUGGGCCCUCUGGGGUCUCAGUCUGCAGGGUCUGCCUCCCGGUGGCAGGGCUGGAAGCCAGCGCUGGGACUCCUGGAGCUCAGGGGGAGUUCAAGGCUGAGGAGCAGCCCAUCUCCACCAGAGGUCAGCAUUACAGAGACGUCCGAGGCACGGCAGCCACACAGCCAGGCUCAGGAGGCAGCUCCGUGCUUGAGCGGGCUCAACCAUGUCCAGUUCUUUCCUCCUCCCCAACCACCCUCAGGCCUCGGGCAGUCCUAAGAGUGGGAGAUGCUGUAGUGCUAGUGUUGUGCCUUCUUGGCAAGCGUAGAUUGCGGCUGGAUACCCGUGGACCCACGGGACCCAGAAACUGAUGGGUCAUUCAUCAGCUGAGCCCUGCAGCAUCGGGGCAGCUACCUCUCUGUGCUCACACCGAGCUGUGGACUAUCCCACUGGCUUCUGUCAAAGCCUUGGGCAGGCGGGCGGUCACGUUCUACACUUCAAGGAACUAAUGUGCUGUGAACCUAUGUGAAUUUUUCUCCACUCAAUCUCACUGUCCUUGAGAGAGAUGGGUUCCAUUUACGAGAUGUCUCUGCCGCCCCCCUUCUCUGAAGCAACAGUAGGUCAUGUCUGAAUGCAGAAGCAAGGCCUCAUGCUGGGAAAACACAUCCUGACUGUAGACUCUCAGGCUUCUAGAGUCAAAGCCAAAGUUUCAAGUCCUCUAUUACUAAGAAGCCACAUGGCCCUGAGCCAGUGAAGUAACUCUCUGAACCUCAGUGUACCAAUCUGUAAGAUAGAGAUCAUCAUGUAAGUGAUGGCAUUGAAACUUACAUUGGGGAAAAGCAUCUAAGUGUGCUUUUGCAGUGCCUGGUAAUACCCUUUACCUAAUAGGAUGUAACACGCUACCUAUUACUACGAGAGGAGGGAAAUCACAUCUCUCUGAUUCUACUUUGUGACAAACUACCUGUGAUAGGAAAAUUGGAAUUGGAGUCCUCUCCUUAAUAUGGGCCUUUGAUAUGAAAAACUGUACCUGUUUCCUAAUGAACCUACCCAUCCUAACCCAUCCUCAAAGAUGCCUCCAGAGUGAGCAUCCUAAGGCUUAGAUGUGAUCCUUCAGCUCAGCGUGAGCCAGCAGGAAUAUAACAGAAGCUGCAUAUGUGAUUUAAAUUUUCUUAGUAGACACACUGAAAAAAUAAAGGAG